UUCAGAUUGACGGCUGGCUGCCACUGAAUUUUAAAUGGCCGCAGUAUACUAACUGUGCAAAGGUAGCAUAAUCAUUAGUCUUUUAAUUGAAGGCUGGAAUGAAUGGUUGGACGAAAUAUGAGCUGUUUCAAUUAAAUUUAAAUUAGAAUUUUAUUUUUUAGUCAAAAAGCUAAAAUUUAUUUAAAAGACGAGAAGACCCUAUAAAUCUUUAUAUUUAAUUUAUUUUAAUUUUUAAGAUUAAUUUUAUUAUAAUAAAUUUAAAUAUUUUAUUGGGGUGAUAUUAAAAUUUAAUAAACUUUUAAUUUAUAAAGUCAUUAAUUUAUGAAUAACUGAUCCAAUAAUAUUGAUUAGAAAUUUAAGUUACUUUAGGGAUAACAGCGUAAUUUUUUUGGAGAGUUCAUAUCGAUAAAAAAGAUUGCGACCUCGAUGUUGGAUUAAGAGAUAAAUUUGGGUGUAGCCGUUCAAAAGUUUAAGUCUGUUCGACUUUUAAAUUCUUACGUGAUCUGAUUU
rnacentral:rRNA from 1 species